GGUUACUGCUAUCGGUGUUCGUCUAAGCCAUGCGAGUCAUAUGUAGCAAUACAUGGCGUACUGCUCAGUAACACGUGGAUAACCUGCCCUUGGGUCCGGCAUAACCCCGGGAAACUGGGGAUAAUUCCGGAUAACGCACAUAUGCUGGAAUGCUUUAUGCGUGAAAUGGAUUCGUCUGCCCAAGGAUGGGUCUGCGGCCUAUCAGGUAGUAGUGGGUGUAAUGUACCUACUAGCCUACGACGGGUACGGGUUGUGAGAGCAAGAGCCCGGAGAUGGAUUCUGAGACAUGAAUCCAGGCCCUACGGGGCGCAGCAGGCGCGAAAACUUUACAAUGCGGGAAACCGUGAUAAGGGGACACCGAGUGCCAGCAUCCUAUGCUGGCUGUCCAGGUGUGUAAACUACACCUGUUAGCAAGGGCCGGGCAAGACCGGUGCCAGCCGCCGCGGUAACACCGGCGGCCCGAGUGGUGAUCGUGAUUAUUGGGUCUAAAGGGUCCGUAGCCGGUUUGGUCAGUCCUCCGGGAAAUCUGACAGCUUAACUGUUAGGCUUUCGGAGGAUACUGCCAGACUUGGAACCGGGAGAGGUAAGAGGUACUACAGGGGUAGGAGUGAAAUCUUGUAAUCCCUGUGGGACCACCUGUGGCGAAGGCGUCUUACCAGAACGGGUUCGACGGUGAGGGACGAAAGCUGGGGGCACGAACCGGAUUAGAUACCCGGGUAGUCCCAGCCGUAAACGAUGCUCGCUAGGUGUCAGGCAUGGCGCGACCGUGUCUGGUGCCGCAGGGAAGCCGUGAAGCGAGCCACCUGGGAAGUACGGCCGCAAGGCUGAAACUUAA
rnacentral:rRNA from 1 species